UAUACGCCCUCUACGUUGAUUACGAGGUGAGAUAGAAAGAUGUAGAUGGAGGACUUUUUUAGGCUACAACUGUAAGAAAGGCCGACAAAACAUGAACUUAAUGGCUGUGAUUUUACGGGAGUUACUGAAUUCGGGAUUGUCGAUUUCGGAAGGAUGAGAUUGCAGACGAUGCCAACAUGAUUAGAAUCAAACAAGAAGAUGGUAUGAACUUGAUCAUGAUUAAGCAAGAAGAUGAUACUGGCAUGAUCAGGGUCAAGGAAGAUGAUAAUACAGACAUAAUCAGGAUUAAGCAAGAAGAUGAUACAGACAUCAGGAUCAAGGAAGUUGAUAAUACAGACAUAAUCAGGAUUCAGCAAGAAGAUGAAGCGAACAUGAUCGGGAUUAAGGAAGAUGAUAAUACAGACAUGAUCAGGAUCAAGGAAGAUGAUAAUACAGACAUAAUCAGGAUCAAGGAAGAUGAUAAUACAGACAUAAUCAGGAUUAAGCAAGAAGAUGAUACAGACAUCAGGAUGAAGGAAGUUGAUAAUACAGACAUAAUCAUGAUUAAGCAAGAAGAUGAAGCAAACAUGAUUGGGAUUAAGGAAGAUGAUAAUACAGACAUGAUCAGGAUUAAGGAAGAUGAUAAUACAGACAUACCAAUCAGGAUCAAGGAAGAUGAUAAUACAGACAUAAUCAGGAUUAAGGAAGAUGAUAAUACAGACAUGAUCAUGAUAAAGCAAGAAGUGCAGGAAGAGGAGGAGGAGAAAGAAGAGGAGAUAUAUAAUUUCACUGAUGAAGGUUGGAUGGAUGAGAAAAAAGAUGAGCAGGAUGAGACACACGCUGUUCGUUUCACAGAUGAAGGUUGGAUGGAGGAGAAAGUAGACGAGGAGGGACAGAAGGAGACACACUCUUAUGGUUUAGCAGGUGUUGGUUGGAUGUCUGAUGAUGAUAGAGGGAAAAUCAAGGUAGUAACGGAUGAUUCGACUUGUCAACCUGGAACAAGUUCUGAUGGAGUUUGGAAGGAUUCAGAACAACCCUCACUAAAAGAUGCUGCUGAAUAUGAUCAGGAUGCAAUUGAACAAGGAGGUGACGCUAAUGCUGUACAAGAUUCCAUAGAACAAGGUAUAUCCAGCGACGUUAGCGAGAAAGCCGAUCUAAACAUACAUUCUGGAGGAAAGAUGCGCCGGUUUUGUGGAAAGAUAUGCCAUGACAGUUAUUCAGUUCCUGACCUGAAUGGAGAAAGACCGUUCAAGAAAAGUGAUAUGACCGGGCAUGUCAGAACACAUACAAAAGAAAAGCUCUAUGAAUGUUCACAAUGUAACAAAGGAUUUUCCGAUAAAACUAAUUUAAUCAUCCAUCAGCGGACUCACAGUGGGGAAAAGCCAUUCGAAUGUUCACAGUGUAAGAAGAGAUUUAGCCAAGAAAGUGUUUUGAAUCGCCAUCUGCAAAUACACACAGGAGAAAAGCCGUAUGAAUGUUCAAUCUGUAGGAAGAAGUUUUCCGUGAAAUGUAAUCUAACUAGCCAUCUCCAAAGACACACGGGAGAAAAGCCAUUUCAAUGUCCACACUGUGAUAAGAAAUUUUCCACCAAAGUUUAUCUGACUCAACACAUCCGAACACAUACGGGAGAAAGGCCAUAUGAAUGUUCACACUGCAUGAAAAGAUUUGCUCAGCAGAGCAUUCUUUCCCGUCAUCUCCGAACACAUACGGGAGUAAAGCCAUAUGAAUGUUCAUACUGUAUGAAAAGAUUUUCUCAACAUAGUAUUCUAACCUGUCACAUCCGAACACACACAGGAGAAAAGCCAUUUGAAUGUCCGCACUGCAAUAAAAGAUACUCAGCCCAAGGUAACCUGAAUAGUCAUCUCCGAAAACAUGCAGAAGAAAAUGGUUGCAUUUGAUUUUGUCACAUGUAGAUCCUUUCAAAAAGAUGUUGAGGAGAUUACGCUAAUGAUGUACAGGACUCCAUAGAACAAGGUAUAUCCAACGACAGCAGCAUGAAAGCUGAUCUAAAUAUUCAUUCUGGAGGAAAGAUGCGUCAGUUUUGUGGAAAGAUAUGCCAUGACAGUUAUUCAGUUCCUGACCUGAAUGGAGAAAGACCGUUUGAAUGUUCAGAAUAUGAUCCUAGUGAUGCACAAGCCUCCAUAGAACAAGGUAUAUCCAGCGACAGUAGCAACAAACCUCAAGAGAAUAUGCAUUCGGGAGGAAAGCAGCAUCAGUGUUUUGAAGCAAAUUGUCAGGGCAGGUUGAGAUCUAGUCCAGAAGGGAGUAAAUUUUUAAAUUGUAUGAUGAGGCAGUAUCCUUGUAAAUUUGAUCUACAACCGCUUACAGAAGAAAGGACAUAUAAAUGUUCACAAUGUCCGAAGGGAUUUCAUCGACGGUGGGAUUUAAAGCGUCAUCUUAAAAUACACACCGGAGAAAAACCGUACGAGUGUUUAGAAUGUAUGAAAAGAUUCUCCCAAAAAAGUACUCUGACCCAUCACCUCAGGAUACACACAGGAGAAAAGUCAUAUGAAUGUUGCUUUUGUAAAAAAGGACACUAUCGGCAAUGUGAUUUGAAGCGUCAUCUUUUUACACACACAGGAGAAAAGCCAUGCAAAUGCCCACUCUGUGAGAAAAGAUUUUCACUGAAAAAUCAGCUAAAGCUCCACCUCUUAACUCACGAGGGACGAAACGGUAAGCAAUAUCAGUGUUCCUAUUGUGAAUUAGCAUACUAUCAGCAAAGCCAUCUGAAACGUCAUCUUCUGACCCAUACAGGAGAAAAGCCGUUUGAAUGCUCACAAUGUUUGCAAAGAUUUUCUCAAAAAAGGUCCUUGAUUCGUCACCUCAGAAUACACACGGGAUAAAUGCCUGAAAAACCAUUUGAAUGUUCUCACUGUAAUAAGAGAUUUCUUGAUAAAAGUAGUUUAAGUAGUCAUCUUAGAACACACACAGGAGAAAAGCCGUAUGAAUGCUCACACUGCACCAAGCGAUUUUCUCGGAAAAGUAAUCUGACUGACCCAUCUUAGAACGCAUACAAAAGAAAAGCCAUAUGAAUGUCCACACUGUAGAAAGUUAUUUUCUCAGAAAAGUGGUCUUAAUCAUCAUCUCCUAAUACACACAGGAGAAAAGCCAUAUGAAUGUUCACACUGUUUAAAGAGAUUUCCUCAGAAAAUUCAUCUUACUCAUCAUCUCAUAACACAUACAAAAGAAAAGCCAUAUGCAUGUCCACAUUGUUCUAAGGAAUUCACUCGUAAAUCUCAUCUGACUUAUCAUCUUAGAACACAUACCUGAGAUAUGCUUAAUGAAUGCCCACACUGUGUAAAAAGAUUUUCUCAAAAAAGUAUCCUAUCCCUUCAUCUCCGAACCCACACUGGGGAAAAACCGUAUGUAUGUUCACAGUGUAAAAAGGGAUUUUCUGUAAAAUGUAAUCUGACUAAACAUCUCUUAACACACACAAGAGAAAAACCAUAUGAAUGUUCACACUGUUUCAAGAGAUUUCCUCAGAAAAUUCACCUCACUCAUCAUCUCAUAACACAUACAAAAGAAAAGCCAUAUGCAUGUCCACAUUGUUCUAAGGAAUUCACUCAUGAAUCUAAUCUGACUUAUCAUCUUUGAACACAUACAGGAGAUAUGCUUAAUGAAUGCCCAUACUGUGUAAAAAGAUUUUCUCAAAAAAGUAUCCUAUCCCAUCCUCUCCGAAUCCACAUUGGGGAAAAACCUUAUGUAUGUCCACAGUGUAACAAGGGAUUUUCUCUAAAAUGUAAUCUGACUAAACAUCUCAUAACACACACAGGAGAAAAGCCAUAUGAAUGUUCACACUUUUUCAAGAGAUUUCCUCAGAAAUCUCAUCUGACUUAUCAUCUUCGAAUACAUACAUGAGAUAUUGUAUACGAAUGCCCACACUGUGUAAAAAAUUCUCAAAAAUAUAUAUCCCGUCAUCUCCGAACCCACACUGGGGAAAAACCUUAUGUAUGUCCUCAUUGUAACAAGGGAUUUUCUAUAAAAUGUAAUCUGACUAUACAUCUCUUAACACACACACAGGAGAAAAACCCUUUAAUGUUUACAUUGUAAGAAGGGUUCAUUAUUUAUUAAAUGUAAUCUUACUAAACAUCUCCAAACACACUCUCAUGAGAAUUGAAUAUUCUCACUUGAAAAAAAAACAAAAAACUAAACAAA